GAGGGUAUAGCUCAGUGGUAGAGUACAUGCUUAGCAUGCAUGGGGUCCUGGGUUCUAUCUCCAGUACCUCCA
rnacentral:tRNA from 1 species